CAACUGGUGUCUGAGAAAACCACCCCCAGAACUGUGCACCUUCCCAGAGGGACUGGGUACAUAAGAACUGUCACAUGCAAGACAUUUGCUAAGUCACAGCCACAUAGUCUGCUGUUGAGAAUGCCAACGAGUCAGAAGAGGUUUGGAAGAGGGUAUUUCAGAGGUACCCUUGAGCCAGGAGAUGACUCUUGGGGCUGUGGCUGGCCACACUCAUGAGUGCCGGGCACCUGGCUGCAGCCUGGCCUCGGGGGUGGGGUGUGGGAGUGUCAUGCCGUCUCCCUGCUCUGCUCAGGUGGCCCUGGGAGAUUGUCUCUGUUCAAGCCCUUAUAAAGGCAGGAAGAGGUGGUCUCUCUGCUGUUCUGAGCUUGUUUAUGCUCUAACAUGUCUCUGAGCUCAGAGGACCAGUCCUCUUCCUCCUUCUUCCUCGGUGCCUCCCUCCAAUUCUGGGGAAAACAAGUGGACUAUUCAUGUAAAAAGAGAAAGAGUAAGGAGGGGGGAGAUGCCACCGACAAACUCCAUUGAAAGCCACUGGCUGUUCAUUUACAUUCACACUUUUAAAAAAUGUUAACUAAUGAUGUUAAAUGGUUUGCCAAAGGUCCUGGCAGGUCAGUUGUAGAAGUGUCAUUUCUGCCUAAUUAGGGCUCUUGUGGCUGCCCGGGGCCUCCCAGUGCAACUGGUGACAAGCGAGAGCUGACAGCUUCAAUUGGUGCCAAUAGGAAGGUUGGACCGGUCAUGUUUUCCAACUCAGCCAGGUGUUUGCUGAAUGGGGGAGGGGGCUUGGCGAGAUCUGAGCGCUUCUAUGAUCCUUUUUCUUUCACGACCCCCUCCCAAGUCCUUCCCCUUUGCCUGUCUUGUCUUGUGUCAAGGUCAAGAAUGGGCUUUGCUAAAUCAGCAAUUUGGGUUAUCUCUGGGAGGUCAUUAGCAGUCCCAGCCCAGACUGUUUCAAGUGGUCUCAGACCCCAGAUGCUAGGUUUUUUUUUUUCUCCCUAAAAAUCAGAGAGCAGGAAAAGAAAAGGAAUGCUUUGGGUAAUAAACAACAGCAGCAAGAAAAAAAACAAAACAAAAAUCUACACAGAAAGCUCUUGGUACCCAUUAAAGUGUUAAACUUCUGAGGACGUUGCAAAUAAUAAAACUGCUUAAAGGGAAAACUGAAGUAUUCUGAUCCCUACCUUAAAUAUCUGAAGAAAGAAAAGAUGACAAUGAAAAAAACAUCCUAGAAGGUUUGCUGGAUUGGACAGUACCUGUCUCAUAGUAGGUGCUCACUAAAUAGUUUCUUGUUUGAUUUGAUUUUUCAGGAGAAAAAUGAUGCCUGAGAGACAAAUAAUGAUUGUUAGAGAUGAGGUUCUCCUGAUAACUUCUGAUAAAUAUUGUGAAGUGCUCUUUGAAUUUCUUACUUGACCAUAAAGUACCUGCAGAGGCUGCAGCAACUACAACACAAGGAGAUGGUCCCAUGACGGUGAUGGGACACCUGUGCCAGCUUCGGCGGGUCCUGCAGGGAUGAUGGCUCUCCUUUGCUGGGUCUGAGCAAAUUCACGUGUACAUUCAGUGGGUCUGUGAACCACGAUGACAGGAUUCCCACAAGGGCAUCUGGGGAGGGAUGCUGCAUUAAAAUUAAAGGAAAGCAUGAAAUGGAAAA